rnacentral:sRNA from 1 species
CCCUAGCCCCGCUAUCCGCUGUAUCUUUAUGUUCUUUCUUUAAGAACAUAAAGAUACAGCGGAUAGCGGGAACAAGC